GGGCUUGUACCGGUUUCGACGGGGAUGAUGCAGCUUUAGAAGCUAUCCGAAAGAAGUCGCGUUAAACUUCAAACUUAAAUUUAAACGCUAACGAUAGUUACGCAUUAGCAGCCUAAGCGCUGCUGGCCAGCCUUCCUGCACUCACACGGGAAGAUUCUGACCUCAUUUUUGUGAGAAACGACUGUUGCGGUUCCUCCCGCAACCGGGCGUAUUUAGAGGAUACCGGCUAGGACAAGACGUGCGCAUCUUAUCCUAGUGGGGAAUCUUGAAGCGUACUAUGAUAGUAGAAGGAGAGGGAAUUCGUUUUCGGACAUGGGUUCGACUCCCAUCAGGUCCAUCC
rfam:Oribacterium sinus F0268 genomic scaffold SCAFFOLD1, whole genome shotgun sequence.